ACUGUAACCCCUCUGUACAUCACUUUGACAAUAAAUAAUGAAAAAAAAAUGAAAACAUUCGAGUCCCUCCUAUUCUAAAGUGAUUGCAAAACAACUGUUUACAUUAGUGUCAAGAGGCUUAGAGAAGACAUUUCAUGAGCUUGUAGUAGGGAUGAGAAAGAAAAAAAAGAAGGGCUGGGGGAGAAAAGUCAUUCUAGACCAUUAUUUAUUUCUAAAUGCUUCAUGGAAGUCAGGAAUGCUGUUAUAAUGUACAGUGAUCAGAAUUUGUGAUGAUACAGCAAGUAAGAAAGUAUAUUUCUCCUGCCUUCGUGUGUGUGUGUGUGUGUGUGUGUGUG